UGUACAAGUUCCCCUGAGGGAAAGUUGCAAAGAACUUUGGAGAGAGAGUUAAAAAGGGCGUGAAACCACUUAGAAGGAAACAGACGGAGCUGAAAAGUCGCUUGUCAGAUUCAAUUUGCCAGGGCCUGCCGCAUAUCGCAGGUCUAGGUGAAUGCAUUUCUGGCGAGUGCGCGCUGCGACCGAUUUCUGCGCUGGCUAAGGUCUGUCGAUUGCCGGCUGGGCCUUCGGGUCCAGUGUCCCGUCGAUAGUUCCGGACCGAGUCGUGGAGAUCGUAGAUCUGCCGUACUAGUUCUCGGAUUGGACUUUUGAUGCGCUGGCCAAAACUCCGGGUCCUGCUUGCAGAGCUCGGUAAAUUCCAGUGCUACCUUCUGUCUUAUGCCGAAUAGUACGAAUGGUCUGCGGCGUCUGUGUCAGCCCCCCGUCUGACCCGUCUUGAAACACGGACCAAGGAGUCUAACAUGUGCGCAAGUCAUUGGGUGGUAAACCCAAAGGCGCAAUGAAAGUAAAGGCCAGUUCGGCUGGCUUAGGUGAGAUCCUUGGGCUUCGGCCCGAGGCGCAUCACCGCCCCGUCCUAUGAGUAAUGUCUCAAGGGCGGAGGAAGAGCGUAUAUGUUGGGACCCGAAAGAUGGUGAACUAUGCUUGAGCAGGACGAAGCCAGAGGAAACUCUGGUGGAGGUCCGUAGCGGUUCUGACGUGCAAAUCGAUCGUCAGACUUGAGUAUAGGGGCGAAAGACUAAUCGAACCAUCUAGUAGCUGGUUCCUUCCGAAA
rnacentral:rRNA from 1 species